rnacentral:rRNA from 1 species
GAGAAGGCUAUGUUGGCCGGGCGACGGUUGUCCCGGUUUAAGCGUGUAGGCUGGUUUUCCAGGCAAAUCCGGAAAAUCAAGGCUGAGGCGUGAUGACGAGGCACUACGGUGCUGAAGCAACAAAUGCCCUGCUUCCAGGAAAAGCCUCUAAGCAUCAGGUAACAUCAAAUCGUACCCCAAACCGACACAGGUGGUCAGGUAGAGAAUACCAAGGCGCUUGAGAGAACUCGGGUGAAGGAACUAGGCAAAAUGGUGCCGUAACUUCGGGAGAAGGCACGCUGACACGUAGGUGAAGUGAUUUACUCAUGGAGCUGAAGUCAGUCGAAGAUACCAGCUGGCUGCAACUGUUUAUUAAAAACACAGCACUGUGCAAACACGAAAGUGGACGUAUACGGUGUGACGCCUGCCCGGUGCCGGAAGGUUAAUUGAUGGGGUCAGCGCAAGCGAAGCUCCUGAUCGAAGCCCCGGUAAACGGCGGCCGUAACUAUAACGGUCCUAAGGUAGCGAAAUUCCUUGUCGGGUAAGUUCCGACCUGCACGAAUGGCGUAAUGAUGGCCAGGCUGUCUCCACCCGAGACUCAGUGAAAUUGAACUCGCUGUGAAGAUGCAGUGUACCCGCGGCAAGACGGAAAGACCCCGUGAACCUUUACUAUAGCUUGACACUGAACAUUGAGCCUUGAUGUGUAGGAUAGGUGGGAGGCUUUGAAGUGUGGACGCCAGUCUGCAUGGAGCCGACCUUGAAAUACCACCCUUUAAUGUUUGAUGUUCUAACGUGGACCCGUUACCCGGGUUGCGGACAGUGUCUGGUGGGUAGUUUGACUGGGGCGGUCUCCUCCUAAAGAGUAACGGAGGAGCACGAAGGUUGGCUAAUCCUGGUCGGACAUCAGGAGGUUAGUGCAAUGGCAUAAGCCAGCCUGACUGCGAGCGUGACGGCGCGAGCAGGUGCGAAAGCAGGUCAUAGUGAUCCGGUGGUUCUGAAUGGAAGGGCCAUCGCUCAACGGAUAAAAGGUACUCCGGGGAUAACAGGCUGAUACCGCCCAAGAGUUCAUAUCGACGGCGGUGUUUGGCACCUCGAUGUCGGCUCAUCACAUCCUGGGGCUGAAGUAGGUCCCAAGGGUAUGGCUGUUCGCCAUUUAAAGUGGUACGCGAGCUGGGUUUAGAACGUCGUGAGACAGUUCGGUCCCUAUCUGCCGUGGGCGCUGGAGAACUGAGGGGGGCUGCUCCUAGUACGAGAGGACCGGAGUGGACGCAUCACUGGUGUUCGGGUUGUCAUGCCAAUGGCACUGCCCGGUAGCUAAAUGCGGAAGAGAUAAGUGCUGAAAGCAUCUAAGCACGAAACUUGCCCCGAGAUGAGUUCUCCCUGAGACUUAGAGUCUCCUGAAGGAACGUUGAAGACGACGACGUUGAUAGGCCGGGUGUGUAAGCGCAGCGAUGCGUUGAGCUAACCGGUACUAAUGAACCGUGAGGCUUAACCUUACAACGCCGAAG